CUCUCUCUCUCUCUCUCCUCCUCCCUCCGUCCGUCAUUUUUUUUAACUUAGUGAUUUUUUCUUUUAAUUUUCAGCGAAUCAGCCGCAAUUCCACCUUGUCCGACGCAAUCAAUUUCUCUUCUCCGGCGUUUUUCCAGCUAGGGUUUGUUUUAAUUGUUGCUGUGAAGAUUGUGGUAAAUAUUUGAGUUUCAUUUGACAAGUUUCGGCUUGGUUUGGAUUGAACAAGCAAAAAAAUCGCAAAUUCAAGGUGGAAUUUGGACAUCGUAGAUGGAUGUAUAAUGAGAAUCAUCCGAAUCGUAUGGGGUUGCAGGAUGAUUUAUAGAAGGGGUUGCUAGCUUUCUUUAUUGCUAAGGUAAAGACACUUGAUGAUUUCCUUAUUGAAGGGAUGAUUAGGUGCUCCUGUGUGAAAUGCAAGCGUUUUAAGUUAUUGGGGCGAUAUUGUACUGUUCAAUUGUAUAAGAAGGGAUUUAUGAAACAUUAUUAUGUGUGGACUGUGCGUGGGGAGAGUCACGCUAGUGUAGAUGAUGUUCAUUUUCAAAACUCAUAUGGUGGUGAAGAAGGUAGUCCCAUAGCGGACAAUAUUAAUGUUGAAAAUUCUAGAUUUAAUGAAAUGAUGAGGGACGCGUUUGAGA